GUGACGGGGAUUUCCCCAAGGGCAUAAAGCGAGGGUAAAUGGACGAGGGUGUGUCUUUUAUGAGUUCGAAUCGCAACACAGACGGUCUGACAUAGACCAUUUAGAAUUGCAUGAUUACGGAUUCAACAAGCUGCAGUGCAUAAUGGCCAUUUGCACUGAUGCGUUCUUUUGUCUGGCAUAUUAUUUCCUCAGACAUGUCUAAUAAUCUCCUCAUGGUGUCAUUGGAUAGGGGUAUGGUGUUACGUUUGUUUGCGUACGACUCCCAAAUUUUCAGUGCACAUAUCAAUCGCACCAGGGAGUAUGAGAUCCUCUGCGCUGGUGUGGGCGUUUUUGCACUACAAUGCGCUGGUUCACAAGGGACCGGGUUGUCUGCCUUGUUGUUGACAUUGGAAGCCGCAGUGGAUGAAGAGGGAGCUGCACGUUUUAUAAACAUGUCCAUGAUUUUUCUCUGACAGAUACAGUAUCCUACAUGAGUUAAAUGACAGCUAACUAUCCACAUGUGCAAUGCAUGCAGAACAAAUCUGCAUAGUUAGCUGUCAAUCAAGCUAGCCAUAAGAAGAUCUGUAUUAGGGUACUAGGGGGUAACUGGCCCCUAAAAACAAUGUCUAAAUGCUGACACAAAACAAUUGGUGUGUGGAUGAAGGUCAUGUUAACUAUAAAGGGAAAUAAAUCGUUAGAGUUUACAUUUUUUAA